rnacentral:rRNA from 1 species
UACGGAGGGUGCAAGCGUUAUCCGGAUUCACUGGGUUUAAAGGGUGCGUAGGCGGGUUGGUAAGUCAGUGGUGAAAUCUUCAAGCUUAACUUGGAAACUGCCGUUGAUACUAUCAAUCUUGAAUAUUGUGGAGGUAAGCGGAAUAUGUCAUGUAGCGGUGAAAUGCUUAGAUAUGACAUAGAACACCGAUAGCGAAGGCAGCUUGCUGGGACGUAACUGACGCUGAGACGCGAAAGCGUGGGGAGCAAACAGG